rnacentral:pre_miRNA from 1 species
AAUAAGUAUAAUUUUACACUAUUUACGUUCAAUAUUUGACCGUUUAUUUUAUUUAAAAAAUUUUAUGAUUAGUAUUUAUUAUUAUUAUUAUUAUUAUUAUUAUUAUAUGAUAAAACAUGAAUAAUACUUUAUGUGUGAUUAAAUAUUUUUAAUUUUUUCAUAAUUUUUUUAAAUAAGACGGUCAGUCAAACGUUGGGUACGGAUAUCCACGGCUAUAUUUAUU